rnacentral:rRNA from 1 species
CAAUAGCGUAUAUUAAAGUUGUUGCAGUUAAAAGCUCGUAGUUGGAUUUCUGGUACAAUGCGCCUGGCCCGCGGCGGUUACGUCUGUGAGUGCCGGUGCGCGUUUGCCAUCCUUCUAGAAAACGUUUCUACCCUUCACUGGGCCGGACUCGCGAUCUAGAUCUUUACUUGAAAAAUUAGAGUGUUUAAAGCAGGCAAUUGCUGUGAAUACAUUAGCAUGGAAUAAUAAUCUAGGACUUCGGUUCUAUUUUGUUGGUUUCUAGUACUGAAGUAAUGAUUGAUAGGAUAGUUGGGGGUGCUAGUAUUGGCCGGCCAGAGGUGAAAUUCUUGGAUUCGGUCAAGACUAACUUAUGCGAAAGCAUUCACCAAGGAUGUCUUCUUUAAUCAAGAACGAAAGUUGGGGGAUCGAAGACGAUUAGAUACCA